AGAGUUUGAUCCUGGCUCAGGAUGAACGCUAGCGGCAGGCUUAACACAUGCAAGUCGAGGGGCAGCAUAAUGGAUAGCAAUAUCUAUGGUGGCGACCGGCGCACGGGUGCGUAACGCGUAUGCAACCUACCUUUAACAGGGGGAUAACACUGAGAAAUUGGUACUAAUACCCCAUAACAUCAUGAGAGGCAUCUUUUAUGGUUGAAAAUUCCGAUGGUUAGAGAUGGGCAUGCGUUGUAUUAGCUAGUUGGUGAGGUAACGGCUCACCAAGGCGACGAUACAUAGGGGGACUGAGAGGUUAACCCCCCACACUGGUACUGAGACACGGACCAGACUCCUACGGGAGGCAGCAGUGAGGAAUAUUGGUCAAUGGACGCAAGUCUGAACCAGCCAUGCCGCGUGCAGGAAGACGGCUCUAUGAGUUGUAAACUGCUUUUGUACGAGGGUAAACUCACCUACGUGUAGGUGACUGAAAGUAUCGUACGAAUAAGGAUCGGCUAACUCCGUGCCAGCAGCCGCGGUAAUACGGAGGAUUCAAGCGUUAUCCGGAUUUAUUGGGUUUAAAGGGUGCGUAGGCGGUUUGAUAAGUUAGAGGUGAAAUGUUAGGGCUCAACCCUGAAACUGCCUCUAAUACUGUUGGACUAGAGAGUAGUUGCGGUAGGCGGAAUGUAUGGUGUAGCGGUGAAAUGCUUAGAGAUCAUACAGAACACCGAUUGCGAAGGCAGCUUACCAAACUAUAUCUGACGUUGAGGCACGAAAGCGUGGGGAGCAAACAGGAUUAGAUACCCUGGUAGUCCACGCAGUAAACGAUGAUAACUCGUUGUCGGCGAUACACAGUCGGUGACUAAGCGAAAGCGAUAAGUUAUCCACCUGGGGAGUACGUUCGCAAGAAUGAAACUCAAAGGAAUUGACGGGGGCCCGCACAAGCGGAGGAACAUGUG
rnacentral:rRNA from 1 species